rnacentral:rRNA from 1 species
UACGGGGGGAGCAAGCGUUGUUCGGAUUUACUGGGCGUAAAGGGCGCGUAGGCGGCCACCGCAAGUCGACUGUGAAAUCUCCGGGCUUAACCCGGAAAGGUCAGCCGAUACUGCGGAGCUAGAGUGCAGAAGGGGCAACUGGAAUUCUCGGUGUAGCGGUGAAAUGCGUAGAUAUCGAGAGGAACACCUGCGGCGAAGGCGGGUUGCUGGGCUGACACUGACGCUGAGGCGCGAAAGCUAGGGGAGCGAACGGG